ensembl:lncRNA
CGGGUUAAUUACACACGUUUAUUUAAGACGUGUAACGUCGGGUUAAUUACACACGUUUAUUUAAGACGUGUAACGUCGGGUUAAUUACACACGUUUAUUUAAGACGUGUAACGUCAGGUUAAUUACACACGUUUAUGCAGGUUAAUUAUAAACAUUUAUUUAGGUUAAUUAUAAACAUUUAUUUAGGUUAAUUAUAAAUAUUUAUUUAGGUUAAUUAUAAACAUUUAUUUAGGUUAAUUAAAAACAUUUAUUUAGGUUAAUUAUAAAUAUUUAUUUAGGUUAUUUAUAAACGUUUAUUUAAGACGUGUAGUGUUAAAUAAAUGUUUAUAAUUAAUCUAACACCACACGCCUUGAAUAAAUGUUUAUAAUUAAUGUAACCUGUAGUGUUAGAUUAAUUAUAAACGUUUAUUUAAAUACUACAGUCUUCAUUUAAUUAUCAGUGGAAUUAGCAUUUACAGUGCUGAGUUUUCUGAUCAGCACUGAUCUGAGACCUGUAGCAUUCACGGACUCACCAGUGUUGUAUUAAUGAAUGAUCACACAGUGUGUGUGGAAUUAGUGUGGAAUUAAGGCUCGCAGUGUUCAGUUCAGCAGUAGUGUUGGAUAUCUAAGCUUCUGGGAUUGACAGCCCGUCACAGUGGUUCUGGGUGGUGUGGAGUGGUUCUGGGUGGUGUGGAGUGGUUCUGGGUGGUGUUGAGUGGUUCUGGGUGGUGUUGAGUGGUUCUGGGUGGUGUGGAGUGGUUCUGGGU